CUGGCUCAGGACGAACGCUGGCGGCGUGCCUAACACAUGCAAGUCGAGCGAUUCAGAGGUCGGAAAUCGACUUCCGACUUCCGACCUCUGGAUAGCGGCGGACGGGUGAGUAACGCGUGGGCAACCUACCCUUAAGACCGGGAUAACACCUCGAAAGGGGUGCUAAUACUGGAUAAGCUCCUUGUAGGGCAUCCUAUGGGGAGGGAAGGUAGCGGAAGCUACCGCUUAAGGAUGGGCCCGCGUCCCAUCAGCUAGUUGGUAGGGUAACGGCCUACCAAGGCGACGACGGGUAGCCGGCCUGAGAGGGUGGUCGGCCACACUGGGACUGAGACACGGCCCAGACUCCUACGGGAGGCAGCAGUGGGGAAUCUUGCGCAAUGGGCGAAAGCCUGACGCAGCGACGCCGCGUGAG
rnacentral:rRNA from 1 species